rnacentral:tRNA from 1 species
GGUACCGUAGCCAAGCGGUAAGGCAGCGGUUUGCAAAACCGUUAUUCGCCGGUUCGAAUCCGGCCGGUACCUCAA